GAAAUGCGAUAAGUAGUGUGAAUUGCAGACUUUAGUGAAUCAUCGAAUCUUUGAACGCACAUUGCGCCCCUUGGUAUUCCAUUGGGCAUGCCUGUUCGAGCGUCAUUUACACCCUCAAGCUUAGCUUGGUGUUGGGCGUUGUCCGCAAGGACUCGCCUCAAAUUCAUUGGCAGCGGCAUCGUCAGCUUCUCGCGCAGCACAUUGCGCUUCAGGAGGCUUCUGGCGAGCUUGCGUCCACUAAGAUACCACCCAGUUUGACCUCGAAUCAGGUAGGGAUACCCGCUGAACUUAA
rnacentral:misc_RNA from 1 species